UGAAAACUCCAUAUUAUAUUC
rnacentral:piRNA from 1 species